rnacentral:rRNA from 1 species
CCUACGGGAGGCUGCAGUGAGGAAUAUUGGUCAAUGGGCGCGAGCCUGAACCAGCCAAGUAGCGUGAAGGAUGACUGCCCUACGGGUUGUAAACUUCUUUUAUAAAGGAAUAAAGUGAGGCACGUGUGCCUUUUUGUAUGUACUUUAUGAAUAAGGAUCGGCUAACUCCGUGCCAGCAGCCGCGGUAAAACGGAGGCUCCGAGCGUUAUCCGGCUUUAUUGGGUUUAAAGGGCGCGUAGAUGGGUUGUUAAGUCAGUUGUGAAAGUUUGCGGCUCAACCGUAAAAUUGCAAUUGAUACUGGCAGUCUUGCGUACAGUUGAGGUAGGCUGAAUUCGUGGUGUAGCGGUUAAAUGCUUAGAUCUCACGA